GGGAAGUUUCGCCGAGAUUCGUCGGCGGAUAGCGGCCCGAUGGUGAAAUCGGCCCGCGGGAGCGAUCGGCAUUGCUUUCCGGAAUGGAAGAAGCCAAUUAAGGGAGGGGAAGGAGGGAAGAAGCGAUCGCGCGUAACGGUAUAAUUAAAGGGAAGAGAGGCAAUCGAGAAAGAAAGCGCCGAUGAAUAAUCCAUAUCUGUUAAUCGCGCGGCCAGGACUCUAACGAGCGGGGGAUAUUUUUCUUCUUCCUUUUCUUUUCGUAAAUCGAGGCUGUUUACCGUCGUGCGCGGCUUAAAACGCCGAUUACGAGCGAAGGCCCCGCAAUCACGCCGCGCGUUUGGCGCUAAACGCCCCGAUAUCUGUCGAUCUCCAUCGGAGCGCAGCCUGCGCCUUGACGCCGAACGAUUCUCCUAAACAUGGGAUUUUGGGAUAUCGAGUGACGGUCUCGCAUUACACAAACGGUUUGAAGGAUACGAAGGAUUAAUUGGCGGGUCCGAUCGCGCGCGCUGCUUAUUCCUCGCCCUGCUACCCCGUCCUCCUCUCGCAACGAUCCCUUCGAAGGGGUUGCACGCCACGUCGGAUCCAGCGAGUGGCGAGAGAAGAAAGAAAAAAAAAAGAAGCGCGCAGAGGAGGAACGAAAGAAAGGAGCUGCUAAUUGACACGGGCGAUUGCACGUAACGGUAUAAUUAGAGAAAAGAAUACGGAGAGCCCGGGCCGGUGCACCGAUGAAACCAAUGAACCAGCCACCGCGCGGCAAAGGGGGAGGGAAGAAACGAGAAAGGCAAAGAGAGAAAGAGAGAGCGAGAAAAUGGGCGAGCGGAACAGCCGAAGAGAGACGAACGGAAAGGCAGAAAAGCAGCAGGGGAGAGAAGCAGCCGGCGGCUUUCGUGCGAUCAUCGAGGGGUUCCCUCUCCGAGAGAAAGAGCCGCGGGCCUACGAGCUAA